rnacentral:rRNA from 1 species
UACGUAGGGUGCAAGCGUUAAUCGGAAUUACUGGGCGUAAAGCGUCUGUAGGUGGCUUUUUAAGUCCGCCGUCAAAUCCCAGGGCUCAACCCUGGACAGGCGGUGGAAACUACCAAGCUGGAGUACGGUAGGGGCAGAGGGAAUUUCCGGUGGAGCGGUGAAAUGCGUAGAGAUCGGGAAAGAACGCCAAGGGCGAAGGCACUCUGCUAGGCCUGAUUUCGCGACUGACACUCAGGGACGAGAGCCAGGGGAGCGAAUGGG